GACCGCAGCCCCGUCGGGGCCCGGGGGUCCCCUGGCGUCUUCCGCAUCCGCGCCGUCGCCAAAUGGUGGGCCGGCCUCUCCCGCAGGCUCCUGCGCACGUGGUCCGGGGCCCGCGGUGCACAGAGACCCACGCGCUCCAAAGGCGCCGUUGCUUUCAGGGGGCAGGGAGCCCGCUGCUGGCCUUGUACGCCUGUCCCCGCCCGUGUGCCACUCCCCGAGCAGAAACCUGAGAAACUGCACGCACGUGCACGUCCAGGAGGAAGAGCGAUUUCCUUUCGUCUGAUGGCGAAGUGCAGGCCUCCCGGUUGAAACGCGUCCUUAGAAGAGCGUCCGUGUGCCCGUUCCUGCCUCUGCCCCGUCCUCGCCGAUCAAGUGACAGUGACACGCGCCUUCUUCACUGAAAACCACGAGGCUCGAGGGUCCUGCUUCCCCCACGUUUGAAGCCGACUCUGUCCCAUACCCCCGAGCAGUGGUGCCAGCCGUGCCACGACAGGCCUCUGAAGGUCGGUCCCGUCUGGAGGAGCCCUCAGGAACAGAUGCAGACUGAGAGCGGCCUCCUCUGGCGAAGGCCGCGCGCCUGACGCUGUCAGCAGCAGGCCUCCUCGCCUUCUCUAGACGUCCCUGCUGGAGAAUAAACACACCUGUACGGGCCUAACAGAGGGGACACCUGAGACUCCAGGUGUGGCCCCCCUCCUCCUCACACCCAGAGCUGUUCCCGGGGGGCAGGGGGACCCAGGCUGUGCUGCGUCUGCGGACCUCGGGGCCCAGGUCCCGGCACGGACGCCGCUUCUGUGAGGAAGCUUCUCGGGAGGUGCCGUGGGUCCGCGUGCUUGUGGGGGUGUGUGUGUGUUUCCUUUCUGAAUAGACUUCUCAAUUUUCCUCGCAUUUAUAUAACUGACCUUUUUACUAACAAGAUACAGUGAUAAAUUUUGAAGACUAUGCUUAGUAUGCGUUUCGUGGGCCGCCUCAGCAAACGUUGUCGGGCCUCUGUGCUAAACAGAGUUGUUUGUACAUACAGCAGUUGUGAACAGUUGGGUUGCUUUUUUUGUUUUUUUUUUUUUUAAUAGAAUUACUUUGAGGAAGUUAAGAGAAUCAGUUGCUCAUGUUAUAUUUCCAGUGAGGACUCACCUCCAGUGCAGAAGCACCCAGAGGGCCCCCAUCUCCCCCCAUCCCCCCAUCUCCCCCCAUCUCCCCCCGUUGUCCAGACACAGGGACAAAGGGCUGGACGUGCUGUCGGCAGCCCUGGUCUGUCUCUCGGCCGGGCCCUGACUCCUGGCUCCCCUUUCCUCCCCUCAAGCUUCCCAACAGAGGAGCAGGAAGCACGGACACCAGGGCACGUGGUGACAGUCCCUUGGUCAGAUGUCCAUCCUAGGUGGCUCCUGCUUGAAUUUCCAGCAUCCGCAGUGUUUGACUUACCUACUUCGCAAGGCUUUGGGUGACCUGUUCCUUCAAUUCUAACUCACCGGCAUCGAGGUGAUGCUAUCUGUAUAGGUCAAGUGACAGCUUCCAGACAGAUGAAGUGGCUGUUGACAGCUGAAUUGUGUUGUACAAGAUCACUGUAACUUGAUAUGUAUUCUCUCUGAAGUUUUUGUAAAAAAAAAAAAAAAAAAAAUUUACAAUGUUAUUUGAAUGAUUUCUUGUAAAUGCUGUGAAUCUAUAUUUGUUGUUUUGUAUCUGUAUAUUAAAGUUA